UGAAAUGCCAUGAUGGAGAAGAGUAAGCAGUGCCUCUUUACAGGGAGGAAACGUAUGUUUGAUUGAGAGCGUUUCUACAGAAAUAGGCUGUUGAAGUUCCCUCCGGAGCAGUUCCUUGAACUUGUCGUAUCCUGAUGUAGUCAGGAUGUAUAGCGAUGACAGUAGAGGGUACCGGUUCACGUCCGUUACAUCGUUUAAAGUGAGAAUGUUGUGUUCAAGUGACAUGAUGUCUAACAAGGGUGGUACCACGGUCUUUUCGUCCCUUUU
rnacentral:ncRNA from 1 species